rnacentral:misc_RNA from 1 species
CUUUCUCAACCUAAUUCAUCGCACCUCCACACUGCCACCUAAUCCACUCCUGGUGCGGCAUUGCUUUUAGCCUUUGCAAUAUGCUCAUUCCUUCCCAGCCAAACAAUGCCAUGGCUACGAUCGCACCUCAGUCGCUUACCCAGUUAGCACAAAGCCUACCUGCGGUGAUCAAUCCUACAAGAUCUGGUGUGACACAUGUGUACUCAGAUUUGACAAGCUCAAAAAUUCCUAUCUGAUAAUUUCCGUCAGCCCAUCAAGCCGACGACUGGUGAUACAAUAUGGUACUUGAAUCCCAUCUGAUUUUAUCCACCAAGGUAUCCAGUUGGACUCUUGCCUUCCGUUUAAUAUCAUGUGCGACAACACUGUCGUGGUUUUUAAUUGCUCCAAAGAAUUCAUCUUUCCUUUCUUUUCGUGAGGGCGAGAAAAAGGAGCUAGUUUACAGAAAUUCUAUGCCAAUGUGAUGUCAUUAUUAUGAAUUAUCCGCAACGACAUUAUAACUCUCAUUUCUUUUUUUAUUUUUUUCCUAUAUUCAAUUUAAAAGGUAAAAGAAAAUAAACCUUACCAUUAUCUCCACUAAUUCACCCCAUUCAAGUAUGAAUAUUGAUACGUCUGAUAUACCCUUCUUAUCCCUCUUUUCCUUUAUCCUCGACCAAACAAAGCCUAAUUUCCAUAUUGUAGGCAUUGACAUUGUCUUCCAAUAUAAAACUCAUCCCAUGUUCAAAAUAAAGAAAAUGCACAACAACAUUAUUUUACAGCACCCUCAAGAUUAUUGAUUUUCUAUUGAAAUGCACAGUUAAUAUUUGGAACUUCAGCUACGCCCCAUUUUCCAAAAUCUAACAAGACCAACGGCACUUAAAGCAUUGACGACGUAUUCUAUUCUCAUUUUCUUAAUUGACAUUCUUAAUCAUUAAGAUAUGUAUCAACAACAUCAAUUCAAAAUAUUAUUAGGGUUGGAGAAUAUAACAAGUUAGAAAACUGGUAAUUUCCAAUUCUGUUAUUUAUAAAGAAUCUUGAUACGACACAACCCACUUCCUACUCUAAUUUCUCCUCAAACCUGAAUUGAUCCACACUAACAAGUAACAACCAACAAGAGCGGGCGGAUUUGUACCUGUGUAAGCGCUGCCCAUCAACUCAACUCUACAAUGACACUUGAGAACGGUAAUUAAUAACACCAGGACACAAGCCAAAAAGACACUCAAAAAUAGGAGGACAAAAAAAGCAAAGUGAUAAAAUUGAAAUCUUGCAUUAAUUGUCAUUGUGGGAAAUCAAUUCUUCCCACAACUUUUCUAUUUAGCCAACUACAAGACAAUCGAUUAUAUUCACAUCCCUAACUGAACCUAACUACAAUAACUACACCUCCACAAGCACGAAAGACUCGAAUCCUAACAUAAAAAUUAACUAAACAAACAGGAAUAUAUAUAUUAAAUCGCAGUGGAAACACAUUAGCAGAAAGACUUUUUUGGGAUCUUAAAACACAUCCUUACUGACUAUGAAUUUAACUGUCAUCAUCAGCAGAGGCCUUAGAGCCUGAGGUGCCAGUCUUCUUUGGCAGGAGGAGGUUAUGGAUAUUAGGCAUCACACCUCCAUUAGCAAUAGUAACAUCGCCUAACAGCUUGCUCAGUUCCUCAUCGUUCCUCACAGCUAGCUGGAUGUGGCGCGGAACAAUUCUGGUCUUCUUAUUGUCUCUAGCUGCAUUUCCAGCUAAUUCAAGCACCUCAGCAGCGAGGUACUCGAGAACGGCAGCGAGAUAGACAGGGGCGCCGGCACCAACACGCUCGGCGUACUUGCCGGCCUUCAAGAACCUGGCGAUACGACCGACGGGAAACUGUAAACCGGCCUUGCUACUCCUCGAGGUGGCCUUCUUCGAGGCGCCAGAUCCUAGAGUUUUGCCUCUACCCGCCAUUCAAGCGAUACUUUAAGAAUCCAAGAAUGAAGAAUCGUUCGGGUACAGAGAGAGAGACAGAGAGAGAG